rnacentral:lncRNA from 1 species
CCUGCAAAGCUUGACAUGCGGCGAAAUAGAGGGUUUGUAGAUUCAGAUCUAUGCAAGGCUUUGGAUUUAGAAUUUUUAAGAUUUAAUCUAUAUUCCAUUGUAUAUCAGGUAAAGAUCUAAUCUUUAUUAAGUUAUUAUAAAAAAUUUUUAGAUGUACCCUAGCUAUCUACUGCAUUUUUGAUAAAAAUAGGUUUUCUUUCCCUUCAGUGAGUACAUACCAGUC